CUCACAGGGUGUUUGUUGUGAGGGGGGAAGGGCAAGGAGAUUGUAAGCCCCUUUGAGUCUCCUGCAGGAGAGAAAGGGGGGAUAUAAAUCCAAACUCUUCUCUUCUUCUCUUCUUCCUUCCAUGGCACGGCACAGAGCUAAAACCACCAACGCGCAGCCCGGAAUACUCAUAACAGUCAAACUUCCUUACACUUAGUUGGAUGUAGGAAUUGGCUGUCAGGGUCUACUAACUCCAGUCUUUUCCUCUGGGAGCAUGUAAACAUGUGUACAGACAGAGCCCCUUCCGCACCUGCAGAAUAAUGCACUUUCAAUCCACUUUCAGUGCACUUUGCAGCUGGAUUUUACUGUGCGGAAGAGCAAAAUCCACCUUCAAACAGUUGUGAAAGUGGAUUGAAAGUGCAUUUAUUCUGCAUGUGCGGAAGGGGCCAGAUACUGAAGGAGGCUAAACCAUAUUCCGGUGGCUCCAGCCUUUGAGCUCUUAUCUGCAUAGCCCCACCUUCUCAUUUGCAUAGCCCCUAUCUGCAUGGCCCCGCCUCCACCGCCACAAAGUCCCGCCGCCUCAUUUGAAUGGUCCCAGUUCAACAUGUUGGUCCCAGUAAAAGGCGAGCUGCUUUUUACGCUGAUCGAUUCCCUAGGUUCGCCACCACUGCUAGGUGUAGGAUUUCUGCAAAAUGUUAUCUCUAUAUUGUUAUUAUUUAUUCCAUUUCUACCCCGCCCUACACCGAAGGCCCCGGGGCGGCUUACAUAACGGGGUUAAAAGCCCUAUUAAAACAUACAAUCCUAAAAACAUAAAGGUUCUAUCCUGGUUGCAUUUCUGCCCGCGGAGUGGGGUGGGUUAUCAGCUGGCUGCGUCUUGCCCUAUUUCUGUUGGCUUUGGAGCUCUGGACGGGUCGCGGUUCUUACUGCCCCGGGCUUUACGCAAAGGAGGCUGCUUCCCGGUGCCCCCAUCCUGAACUCAUGGCAGUGGGUAGCCAACUCCUGCAAGCAUCAUAGAGCAGGUCUCAAAGAUGUGCCAAAAGCGCACAUGCGUGUCCGUGGAAUACGCUCUGCCCGGCUGAGCGGGGUUCCCACGGACCCCCGAGAGACUGUUUUUCCACAAGUUGUCACGCAAUAAUGUGGAUGUUUCUUUCCUGAAUGUAUUUAUUGUGUCUCGACGAAAAUUGAUUUAUGCUGAGAGGUCUCUGGGCGUAUUUGCACUAGACUUGCACUAGUCCGGUAAUUGCUCCCGUGGGAUCCUGGGAAAUGUGUGAGUGGAGGGCUUUAAGUAUCAGCUAGGAACCUCUUUGAAUGGCCAUUGCCCAGGUUCUCAGAGGGGACGCCAUGACAGUUUAGGCAUUACCAAAACCAGAGUAAGUUUAUUGUGUGAACAAGCCCUCCGAAUUCCCCUCCUUUCUCUACUGUAUGUGAUCCUAUUUGUGUGAACUUACAAUGUCAUGUUGGGGACGGGGAGGGGGGGUUGGGGGAAAGAAAGGGGUGUCUUUGUCUGGGUUUUUGUUCCUGGGGGUUGGGCAUGGGGUGGGGGGGCCGGGGAUCAGGAGGACAAAACUUUUUGUUUGGUUUUUGUACUGGACACAAAGAUCAGAAUUAAAUGAACCAGUUCUUUAAAAUGAAAAUAUUACGGGCGAGUUGAUUUUUUCCCCCCUUGACCAAGGCUUCAAUUUCUUUGACUACUCUUGACUACAGUUGGUGGGACUCACCCUUGGAAGCUGUCCGGAGCACGUUCCAAAGCUGCCCACGUUCCAAAGCAAGCUUAGCUUGAGUGACGGGUGAAGCGAUCUUCCCACAAGCGACCAUCCCUCGAGUGCUCUGGAAAAAACAAUUCGAUAACAAAUAAAUCCAUUGGAUGGAAA